rnacentral:rRNA from 1 species
GUCUUUNUGAUAAUAAUUUAAAGUUUAAUCUGCCCACUGAUUAUAAAAUUGAAGGGCUGCAGUAUUUUGACUGUACAAAGGUAGCAUAAUCAAUAGUCUUUUAAUUGAUGACUUGUAUGAAGGAUUGGAUGAAAUAUAAGCUGUCUCUUAUUAAUUAAUAAAAUUUAAUUUUUUAGUUAAAAAGCUAAAAUAAUUUUAAAAGACGAGAAGACCCUAUAGAGUUUUAUAAUUUAGUAUAUUAUUAUUUUUAUGAAAAUUUUUAAAAUAUAAUUAAUUAAAUUAUUUUAUUGGGGUGAUAGAAAAAUUGAAUUAACUUUUUAUAUAAAUUAUACAUAAAUAUAUGAAUAAAUGAUCCAUUAAUAAUGAUUAAAAGAAAAAAUUACCUUAGGGAUAACAGCGUAAUUUUUUUUUUUAGUUCAAAUAAGAAAAAGAGUUUGCGACCUCGAUGUUGGAUUAAGAUAAAAUUUAAAUGCAAAAGUUUAAAAUUUUGAUCUGUUCGACCAUUAAAA